rnacentral:rRNA from 1 species
UACGGGGGGGGCAAGCGUUGUUCGGAAUUACUGGGCGUAAAGGGCGCGUAGGCGGCCUUCUAAGUCAGACGUGAAAUCCCCCGGCUUAACCUGGGAACUGCGUCUGAUACUGGAAGGCUUGAGUGCGGGAGAGGGAUGUGGAAUUCCAGGUGUAGCGGUGAAAUGCGUAGAUAUCUGGAGGAACACCGGUGGCGAAGGCGGCAUCCUGGACCGGCAUUGACGCCGAGGAGCGAAAGCCAGGGGAGCAAACGGG